GCCGAGGCCCGAAGAGGGUGUCAGGAACCAGAGUUACAGAUGGCUAUGAGCAUCCACAUAGGUGCUGGGGAUUCAACCUGGGUCCUCUAGACGAGCAGCCAGUGCGUGCUCUUAACUUCUGAGCCAUCUCUCUGGCUGGGUGUUUUCUCUGGAUCAUCAAAUGAGCGAUGUGUUAGACCACAACUAAGAAUAAAAAAACCCCACACUAUCUGGAACCUUCUAUGAAGUUUUAACACUGUAGCUGGGACGACACCAUGCAGACACACAAAACAAGGGAAUAAUAGUACGGACUAGAAUUAACAAGCUGCGUGCUGCGACGUGGACUUCAUGAAAGAGGUGACAUCCUUGGAGAGUUUGAGAUGACAUGUUCUUGAAGUUGGGAAGCAACACUAAGUCUGUGUUGUAUGGAGGACAACAUGAGAAGAAGCAAGAAGACCAGCCCUGGACCGCUCAGAUGUGAAUACAAUGACAUCCCGAAUAAAAACACCUACUGGACUGCGUAGCAUCUCACUAUGGGGAACAAGUGCUUAUUAAACCCAGACUGUUGAAUGCUUCGGAACUUCUAGAUGGCGACUGUCACGAUCCUAAUGCUUUUAGGGGCUGCUGCCAACACUGUUCAUUGGUUGUUCAAGUUAAAAUGCCGGUGGAAGGCGGGAUCUUGUCUCGACUGCUGUUCACAACAGAAGGUCAGAAGAUGAAUUCUGAGUGAGAACCGGAGCUAAACUGGCCCCUUUCAAUGUGUGCUUCGAUGAGGUGUUUUGGAUGGAGCUUUUAUUGGUCAAGCUUGAAAGGGUUCUUUUCUGUAUCAAAGUCACAAAUCUUGGUUUGCCUGAGUUGAGAUCUCUGAGAGAGUCAAUGAACUCCUGACGCUGCUAAGGGGGUCACUGUGAAGUUGCACCUCUGUUGCUGACAAGAGCCCACUGUGAUUCUGUACUGGGACCGGAGGCUGAAGAAUUUCCAUUCCCAGCGAUAAACGCUGAGGGUGAAGACCGAUGAACGCUACCUGCCCUUACCGGAAGCGACGGCCUCUGCUCUCUACCUUAAGCUAGUAGACUGCUAUUGGAGGAGUAAGAAAAAGAAAUGCAUCAGGCCCUCUGAAUAGGGAGUUUAGGAAGCUGGGCUGCCAUCUGUAGACCCAGAUGAGGAGAGAAGUGACAUUCACAGUCUACCUCUGGGGGAGGGAAAUACUUCCGAACUCGAACUCAGCGAACCAUUCUCCAAGUUGUGGUGUGGAGCAGAGGACUUGAGCGCUCUCACCUCCACAGGGAUUGAAAUGGAUUCGCACAGGCCAUGAAGUGACAAUUUAAAGAUUGUCCUUUUGAUCUUCACUCUUGGGUGCACUCUUUUGCUCGGCCUGUGCUUUUUGGACAAACCGUAUUUAGCUUUCCUAACAGCAUCUGGAAGACAUUCAUUCUGCUUUUGUUUAGGACUCCAAUCACCAUGGCACGUGUUGGAGUCCUCUUGAGAUGGCAUUAAUGCCCCUGCCUGGUUACUGGAAGCUCUUGGCCUUUUCAGAGGAAAGGCCCUGGGAUUCCUUCUUCUGAGCCCGUGAAUCAACUCCGUCAGAUGCCCUCCCACUUGCAAGCUGGCAUUAGUUCAGUGGACUUCCUCUGAGCAAGCCAAGCAAAUUCUCGAAAUGCCAGAUGGGAGAUGGAAAUGCAAAGGUCACCGUUCUCCUCGCCGCUGCCCCCGUUCCCACCCCAGCUAUGAGUGUGAGAAGUUCAGAUUACUGCAGAAGACAUCAGGCCGCUGGGCCGCUCAGAACUACUGUGGUCUGUGCCCGCCUAUAGGCUCUGUUUUCUGUAUCAUAAAACGAGUGUUUGUGUUUGCAACCCCGGAGCUCAACUCUCCUGACCCCGGUCCCCAGCUCUCCACCGCCGAUGAAUGCACAUCAUUUCUGCGUGUGCCUUGUUGGACGGCCCCUUCUCCAAGCGUCUGUGGGUGGUUUCCCUGCGCAGAAUGACAAGGGCAAAGAUUCGUGAAGGGGAAGACAGUUCACAGUAUUUUACAGAUGCCAACAAUACUGUGGGAUCAUGGCCUGCUGUCUGUCCUGUGCAAGUGAGGUCACUGCCACUCAGGGAGCUUCAGAAAUGAUCAAAGGCUGACCAAACUAGACAGCAGGAAUUCAAAGGUCUGGCUGCCUCUGACCUGGCGCCCAGAGUCUGCAGUCCUGCAUUUUGAGCAGAAUGGAAGAAAAUCUAAUUAGAAAUCAAGGAAGGCAGUUGGAUCACCGUGGUAACAAGGAUGGCGCUGUAAUGUCGUUGACUAUGGAGUUCAAACACCUGUCGACCUCGGACCUUAUCCAAGCGCGGAACUCAAUCUCCAGACUCACCCAGCAACAGUACAAAGGCAACAGAAGAGAUCGGAGAAGCAGCUAGAGGCAGCAACUGGAGGCCCCACCCCCUGGAAGAGGGCCACAGAGCUUCCGAGGGUUCAGAACCGUGCAUGGGUCUGUGGAUGAGAAGUCAUGGAAUGCCGCUGUGUCUGCAGAGACAGACUGACAGACUAGAAUUGCAGUACCAUGGAGAUGUUGGGAUGUUGCAAGUCCAGAGGCUACCUUAUUUGGGGUUGGUUCUAGCCUUCCUAAAGGGCCAUGCCUUGCUCACCUCUGUGUCAGAACUCACAUCUUGUGACUAAUAGAUAAAAAGCUUUUGGAAUCUAUGGACUGGGCAGGCCAAUGGUUUCCACCCACCCCACAGUUGAGAAAGUCGUCAGAGAGCAUUGUGGGUCUUUGGAAAAAGCGUCCUCCAGCCUGCUGCCUCUCUGGUGGACCCACUGAUGUAUUUUGAACUUGCCUCUGUUGAUGACUUUCUUUGUAAGUCUGCAAAACUAUAAACCUCCAUGAAACUGCUUCCACAUUGGAAUGUGGAAUUUGGGGGUAACCUAAAUCUGUGGUCUUGGGCUAUGGUCACUCAGAAUGGCUCCAGAACAAACUAUCUCUUUUC